rnacentral:rRNA from 1 species
GACGAACGCUGGCGGCGUGCUUAACACAUGCAAGUCGAACGGAAAGGCCCUGCUUUUGUGGGGUGCUCGAGUGGCGAACGGGUGAGUAACACGUGAGUAACCUGCCCUUGACUUUGGGAUAACUUCAGGAAACUGGGGCUAAUACCGGAUAGGAGCUCCUGCUGCAUGGUGGGGGUUGGAAAGUUUCGGCGGUUGGGGAUGGACUCGCGGCUUAUCAGCUUGUUGGUGGGGUAGUGGCUUACCAAGGCUUUGACGGGUAGCCGGCCUGAGAGGGUGACCGGCCACAUUGGGACUGAGAUCCGGCCCAGCCUCCUACGGGAGGCAGCGGUGGGGAAUAUGGCACAAUGGGCGGAGGCCUGAUGCAGCAACGCCGCGUGCGGGAUGACGGCCUUCGGGUGUAAACCGCUUUCGCCUGUGACGAAGCGUGAGUGACGGUAAUGGGUAAAGAAGCACCGGCUAACUACGUG